rnacentral:rRNA from 1 species
UACCAGCACCCCGAGUGGUCGGGACGAUUAUUGGGCCUAAAGCAUCCGUAGCCGGUCAUGCAAGUCUUCCGUUAAAUCCAGCCGCUCAACGGUUGGGCUGCGGAGGAUACUACGUGGCUAGGAGGCGGGAGAGGCAAGCGGUACUCAGUGGGUAGGGGUAAAAUCCUUUGACCCAUUGAAGACCACCAGUGGCGAAGGCGGCUUGCCAGAACGCGCUCGACGGUGAGGGAUGAAAGCUGGGGGAGCAAACCGG